CAGCAGCCGCGGGAAUACGUAGGGUGCGAGCGUUAAUCGGAAUUACUGGGCGUAAAGCGUGCGCAGGCGGUUGUGUAAGACAGGUGUGAAAUCCCCGGGCUUAACCUGGGAACUGCGCUUGUGACUGCACAGCUAGAGUAUGGCAGAGGGGGGUGGAAUUCCACGUGUAGCAGUGAAAUGCGUAGAGAUGUGGAGGAACACCGAUGGCGAAGGCAGCCCCCUGGGCCAAUACUGACGCUCAUGCACGAAAGCGUGGGGAGCAAACAGGAUUAGAUACCCCUGUAGUCCCGUCUCUUAUACA
rnacentral:rRNA from 1 species